GGGUGUUAUGUAAUCAGUAAGUUACAAUUGUCGUGGAGCUGCAACCUUCCACCAUCAUGGAAAAGUUGUGGAAAAUUCUGCACUGUUUAAUAAGCCUAAGAAACGAGAGGAUGGUAGUCCUAUUUUAUUAUUAUUUUUACGGUUGUAUUGUAUAUCUCAGUAGGCCCCACAUGGUAAAAGAUCUGAAUAUUUCUGUUCUCCCCUCCCAGUUGCUUAGAGUUGUUGGGAGCCGUUUGCAGGAUGC